GGGAAGGUGGCUCAGUGGUAAAGUGCUUGCCUUGCAUGCAUGAGGCCCUGGGUUCGAUUCCUCAGCACCCCA
rnacentral:tRNA from 1 species